GCUUCCAUAGCAUAGUGGUAGUGUGCUUGCUUCGUAAGUAAAAGGUUGCGAGUUUGAUCCUCGUUGGGAGCU
rfam:Ipomoea nil DNA, scaffold: scaffold0688, cultivar: Tokyo-kokei standard.